GUGGUACAAAAAGAUGGGGGUCACGAAGAGGAAGUACCUGAAGUGGUGGCUCCAAAAAAACUCAGAAAAAAUCCCUACGACAAAUGAAAAUUCCAGCACGCUUUCAAUCUCCAUAUAUGACGCAGAACAAGCAAAUAAAUCAACCGAAGAACUUCAAGUCUGCCCAAAUAGAUCACCGAGAUGAAGUCGUACCUGAUGUGGUGGUACAAAAAGAGGGUGGUAACGAAGAGGAAGUACUUAAAGUGGUGGUGACAGGAAGAGAAUUGGUGAUAGGAAGAGAAUUUGGAGGCUCUAAAAAAACAGAGAAAAUAUCCCCUACAACUUAUGAAAAUUCCAGCACGCCUUCAAUCUCCAUAUAUGAUGAAGAACAAGCAAAAAAAUCAAGCUUUCUUCGAUUCUGCCCAAAUAAAUUACCGAGAUGAAGUCGUUAUGGGGUUCAUUUAUGCAAUGAAGAUGAUGAGAAUGCGAGAAGGAAUUAUUGUAUGUAUCCGAGCAUACCAAUAUCAACAUAGGGCAAUUUCAAUCUAUGAAAAAUCAAUGCCAUGUUGAAAGUGGUAUUAUUGAUGCGUGGGCAAACAUUACGACAUCUUCCCACGGGAAAAUAGUUUUUUCGACAAUCAUUUCUAACCUUGUAUUAUCCAAAUAAUUGAAAAAAUGAGAAUUUUCCAAAUAACACCCGAAGACAUGAAAACUGCUAAUAUGAUAUUUUUCCCAAUUUUAUACAAAAGUCACUAUUAUGUUGUUAUCAUCAAUAUGCGAAAGAGAGUAAUCGAAAUCAUCGACAACCUUCCACUAGACCCAGAUAUGGCAUGGGAAGAUAAAUAUGUAACAACUCGGAAAAUGGUAACGUUGAAGUGUUUUUUACAUUUAAUGUAUGUUAAAGUGUUUAUUAACUUCUUUCGUAAAAUAGGUACAAAACUUUGUGGAGUUCUUCAAAACUAUCGACCUGAAGAUCGCAACCAAAAUUGCUAAAUUCCCGUUCAAAGUUUUGAAAUUAGUUUGGCAAGACAGUUCAAAUAAAACAGAUUGCGCAAUAUACUGUAUGAGACAUAUUCAAACUUACAUGGGCGAUGCAAAUUGGGAUUGUGGUAUAACCAUAACAAAUGCAAGGGGAAUGCUUGAAGCUUUACGAGUCAAAUACAUUGCAUUCAUCGUCUGUUCACAUUUAAACCAAAAUUUGAGCACUAUCUUUCAGAAUUUUGUAGACAUUUUAAAAGUAGAUUGUCC